GUGGAGCCAAAGAGCUCUGGGCGGUGAGCAAGCCUCCUACUUUCCUGUCCCCUGCACCCACCUUUUAAACACGUAUUCUGUCUCUUUCUAACUCCUUUGUCUCCUCUGGACUCCGGGUUCCUGCCGGGUGGUGUAGGGCUGGUUUCCCCAACAUCUGGUGCCGAAUGCAGGGCUCCCCGUAAUCUCUACAAAUAAUCUGGUGAAGGAACGCCAGAGCGUGGAAAGUGGAGGAGGACUGAGGAAGGAAGCCUGAGUACGUUUUCACUUCAAGCUCUACGGCUGACUCUUUUCGUUUUCCUGCAGAGAUAUUGCUGGAGCAUGACAUAUAAGAUUCAUUUCAAAAAGUGAAUCUGAGAAAAUAUAGAAGCUGUGACCUUAAUAGUUUACAUUAAAAAAAAAAAGACUACCAAAGUGUGGAUAAUUGCAAGGGGCAGAAGAGCAGUUAUAAUGGCCUUCAUCAAUGUUUGUCAACUACCCAUAGCAAAACCUGUCAAUGAAAUAAAUGUGGCAAAGCUUUUGAGUUGUGCUCAGUCUUUACUGAACAUAAGAAAAUUUUCAGCAUAGAGAAAUGCUACAAAUGUGAAGAAUGUGGCAAAGACUGUAGGUUGUUCUCAGAUAUUACUAUACAGAAGUGAAUUCAUACUGCAGAGAGAUGCUACAGACAUCAACAAUGUGGCAAAGCCUGAAAAUAUCUCAAAUGUUACUGAAUAUAAGAGAGCUCAUGCUGGGAUAUCUAACAAAUGCAAUGAAUGUGGCAAAACAUUUACCUGCUCCUCAACCUUUAUUAAACAAAGAGAAAUCAUACUGGAGACAAACCCUACAUAUGCGAAGAAUGUGGCAAAGCCUUUAAGUGCUUCUCUGACCUUACUAAUCAAAAGAGAAAUUAUACUGGAGGGAAAUCUUGCAAAUGUGAGGAAUGUAGCCUAUAGGUUGUUCUCAGAACUUGCUAAAUAUAAGAUAAUUCACACCGGGGAGAAACUCUACAAACGUGAAGAAUGUGAUGAAGACUAUAGUUGCUUCUCAGACCUUACUAAACAUGAUAAUUCAUAGUGGAGAGAAACCUUACAAAUGUAUUGAAUAUAAUAAAAGCUUUUAUGUGGUUCUCAGCCCUUAGUAAACACAAGUGUACAUCUGUGAAGAACAUAACCAUACAUCUGUGAAGAAUGUGGAACUGCCUUUACCUGCUUCUUCACCCUUAUUAACCACAAGAGAAUUAAUAUGGAAAAGAGACCUUCUGAAUGUGGAGAAUGUGGCAAAACCUUUAAGUGCUUCUCAGACAUUACUAAUCAUUAGAUAAUUCACACUGGAGAAAAACCCUACAAAUGUGAAAAAUGUGGCACAGCAUUGAGUUUUUCUCACACCUCAUUAGAGAAAAGAGAAUUCAUACUAGAGAGUAGAUUUACAAUUGUUAAAAAUGUGGAAAGUCUUUAACAAGUUCUCAUACUGUGUUCAACAUCAGAGUCUUCAUACCGAACAAAUGCAGUAUAAAGGUAAUGACUGUUAAUUCCAUGGCAGAAGGCCCAAACCAGAGAACUGGCCAGACAGUUCUGUUGCACCUAAGCAGCAUGUGCACUUUUCCAAGCACAUCUCAUUCCCUUCCUGACUCCAAUUAUUUCAACAGCACCUUCUCAUUUGCACCAGCCCAUUUUUGAGCCCCAACAAACUAUGAUUUUGAAAUACCUCUGAAGACCGCAUGAGCUAACCACUAAGGGUGACAGUGCUCUAGCCUACUCAAUUUCACCUGAGGGCAGAAACAAGGCAGGAGAGUCUUGUCACCUGGAUUCGGUGCUUAGGAUACUUUACAAUCUUCUUUGGAUGCAUGGCCAAGUCAGAAGGGUAACAUCAUCUGGGGACAGACUCAAGUAAUAUGGCACCACGUCUAUGGUAGAAAAGGUUGAAGAAAAACAGGAGAAUCACAUCACCUAGGUGUUGGGCUUAGCAAUAUGAAAUAAUCCCCUCUUUUGGCCAACUCCAGAAUAAAGAAGUGUGUUGCAUUACCUAGGUUUUGCCCUCAGUGGUAUGUCACAAUUCCCUUAGUUGGCAG
rnacentral:lncRNA from 1 species